rnacentral:lncRNA from 1 species
UACGUUGAAUAUGUUGGUAUGAAAACACAUUGAUUUGUUUAACUGUAUAGCCUGACUAGAUCAGUAAGUAACUUAGUGUAAAGCUUUGCACGUGCAGGAGUAACUGAAUAGAUCCACUGAAGGAUUUCUAAGGAUUGUUAACGGUUUUGCAGAAAAUCUGUAAACAGAUUAGGUUGCUAGCUCUGUCCAGUAUUAAAUGCAUUUUAYAAAACUUGGUAUACUGAGGCUUUUAUUAUGCAAACUCUUUUAUUGAUUAGUGGUGGAGGACUGUUUUAAUAGCACUGAAAUUACAGACUAUAUGUUCAUAAAUAUUCUGGACAAAGGUGACAUCUAAAGGCCAGUUCUUGUCAUAGCAUUUCAUAAAGAAAUCCCAGAAGAGGCUCAAUUUUUAUAUUAAAAAAAAAAAAAAAAAAAAAGAAAGAAACAUGAUUUAUGUUUAGGGCUGCUAUCAGUGGCAUGGAUAGGGUUCCUGUGUUGUUCCGUGCAUUCUUAGAAAUGCUCCUGCUUCACUUGCGCCCCCAAAUUCUAGACUCUGUCAAAUUGCAUGAUAUCUGUUAUUCUGUAGUGUUUCUUUCCCAAACUGCACCAAAUUCUUCACACUCUGAUUUUGCUUUCAGGGAUAUCAAGGAGUCAGUUUGGACUGUUUUCUGAUGAUGAAGAAUUGAUYAUCUCGCUUGGAAGAUUUUUGGCARUUUUCCUGUUCCAGGAUCAUACUGCGUUUCUCGCCUGUUUAUUUCAGUGGAUUGUAAGGAAAAUUCAUGUAGCGUCAUUGCACGAUUUGCAGUCUUAUCCAAGACAAAAUAACCUGAAGAUCAGUUGAGGGUGUUUUUCUGUAUGUGUACCUCUUAAAUGGUGCUUCCCAGUUCUGUUGUUCUCCAUGAUGUUGGCUCAAGCAUUCAGCAACAGGUUUCUCUGAGUAAUAUAAUUAAAAGAGCAUGUUUCAGUGAAACAGGACUUCUCUAAUACUGGAAGGAUGUUUCUGUGCAUAGUGUUCACUGAAGUACACAACCCCUGUAAUUCUUAUAUGCCUCUUAAUUUUAGGCAUUAUGGUAGCUGGUAAGAUAGUUCAAAGUACUACAUAUUUAAUAAAUUGCCAACAUGUUCAAGCUCUUCCCA